ACCGCCGUCCGAGCGCCCGCGAGGGCUGGCGCCCCAUUCCCGGCGCAACGAGUGUUGCGCAACGGCCCACGCGGCCGACACGACCGGAGCGAGCCUGCGGAGGAGCCCGGGAGCCCCCCGUCCCACCGCCCCGUCCGCUCUUGGCUCCCUUCACCCUCCCGGUCGCCGCGGUGGCUCUGCGCUCCCCGCGACCCUCACUUGCUCGCAGAGGCGCUUUUUGUCUUCCUGAGAGCCGCAGCCUGCUGGGCUACCUGUUGCCGACUGAGCACUGCGGGUUGCGGCUACCCGGGCGUGGCCCGGACCUCGGCCUCCCCUUCCCCGCACACUCCCGAGAGGAGCCCUCUACCUUGGGGUGGGCAGGAGGGAAGGCGGGGGGUGGCGGCUGGCAAGCUGCCAACACUCGGGGCGCGCUGCGGCGGGGAAGGGGUUGGCGCGGCCGGGCAGCUGCGCAGGGCUGCGCGGCGGAGGCAGCGAUUAAAAUGUCCCGGCGCCUCUCCCGAGAGCCGCGACGGCCCGGAGCCGGGAGGGAAAGCUCCACGCACAAACACCGCCCCCUGCACAAUUAGGGCGAAGAUGACGGCUGCAAAGUUGUUGCGUAACACGACUGGGAAACGAGGCUCGCUGAGGUCCAUCUACCCACCCCCGCCACGCGGGUGCGGCGUUCCUCGGAGGAUGUGAAGGUCCGCGCUCGGGUGCCCCCGCUGGGACGCCCACUGUCGUUUGGUGCUGGGGCUUGAGACGACCGCGCGGGAUCUCUUCCUGUGAUUUUGAGCUGAUAGCUGCUUAGUGUUAUUUCUGCGUCUAACUGGAUACGGUAGUCUUCUCUCCCAAAUUCCCGGGCUACGGAAGAGACGUAAAAAAAUGGAAAAAAGAGCACCUAGCCGCGACUUCUUAAGUCGUCGCGCUAGACUGUCAAGGCACGUGGCACACUCCCUGCGUUUACCGAUACACGGAUAGUGGUCAGUGCUGGCCUUGGCGAAGGGAGCCAUGUUCCCGACAGUGACUCACAGGCUUGCCCAAAUACGGAGUGUGGCAGGUGGGCAGGACCUCCACCAGCCAGCUCCCUCCUGGUCUCCUUGAACUACGUGGGGGCUGGGCCGAGUGCCUCCACGACUUUCCACUUCUUUUUGCUCCUUUCGUUUUUAAAAAGCAAAAACCAAAGUAAAGAGAAGAGCAGAGUGAACACCCAGGUACCAUCCCUAGUGUCUGCCAUGAGCAGCAGAUCUAUCUACUCGCCAAGAUUGUCUUUUCUACCUUUCCCCUUCUUGCACAGUUAAUAUCAUAAUAACGCAAGUCAUAUUUAAAAAAUUUUUAUCACCUAUCAGUUGAGUUUUUGGAAAGCCUUCCAGGGCAGCGUUGUGGUUUUGAACGCACUCUUGUUCGUGAUUUAUCUGGUAGUACAGCUCUGCUGACAAGGCUCUGAAAACUCAGACGUACAAUAUGGGCUUAGCGUGUUCCCCGACACCAUCUUCCCGGUGCUGACUAAUGCAAGAACCACAUCCCCUCCACUACACAUUUUCCAAACUUGACUACCUUCAUGAGAACAAAUCCUGAUUUUAGUUUAUAAUUUCCACUUUUCUCAUACAUAUAUAAUAAUUCAAGAUGUGGUCUUACUAUGUUGUCCAGGUUGGCCUGGAACUCCUGGGCUCAAAGGAUCCUCCGGCCACAGCCUCCCUGGUAGUGGAAUUACAGGCGCAUGCCACUGUGCCUGGCCACUUUUCUCAAAUUUACUGAUAGUUUCCUUUUUGCCCAAACCUUACAAUGCUUAUUUGUAGCUUUGAGAACCUCUCUUAGAUGAAAUCAAAAUCAUAUCCAUAUUAGUUGCCUUUUUGGGGUCAGAAAUGCAGCUAUUGUCUAGAAAUCCAGGGCUGUCCUGCAUAAUCUACCCUCCCCUUCACGUGUUCUGACCUUGUUCUGCAUUUUGAAUAAUUUCAUGGAAUUUCAAAGCCGUUGUAGUAAAUGUCUUUCUUUAAAGACAACUCGACCUUCAAGACAGGUAAAGAACGUGCCUGGAGCCACCCCAGGCAGUGAUGCUGGAGGAGUUCUCUCAACCUGGAAACUUAUUCUUUAUGCUGAAUUUUGAAAUCGAAUGCUCCUAUAUUUACUUGGAGUAUUUUAGAUUGUGUAUGUAUUAUAUCUGUGCAUCAUUCAUUGUUACCAUCUAACUUGGAAAUCAGAGGAAGUGUGAAAGGUAUCUGAGAUACCAGCUUAGAAAACAACUCUUUAGCUCCUCCUGGUGAUUAGGACACCACUAAACAACAGGAUGAAGGAUCUGUCCCCAGGGCCGAAGUGAUGAUGUAUCUAAUAUUAUAUCCUAGAACAUUCACAGAGUAGGUAAGUAUUUGCAGAUUAACUCGAGUAAAUGGAGCAUAAAAACCUAAGAUAUUUGAAACAAAUUAACCAGGGUGGGGAGGCUUCUAGGAAGACAUCAGCAUGUGCCUGAUGGUGGAGCUGGGCUGUAAGGUUCUCAGGAGGAGGAGGAAGGGGUUCUUGCUCUCAGCAACCUCUCAGUGCUAGGGGUGGAUUGAGGGCAGGGGCAAGGGAGGAGGUGCCUGGACAGGGAUGAGAACUACCAGCAGAAGACAAUCAACCACAUUCUAAUUCAUUUUAUUAUACUGCCAACAUGGUUUCUGACUAAGCAAAUAUAAGAGCUAUAGCUUGAGAACAGAAUGACUAAAACAGUGACUUCUCCUUACUAAAAUGGGAAUUAAUAGGAAUUUGUAAUUUAGUAACAACUUAAUUUAAUAUAGUAAUAAUUUUUCUACAGCUGCAGAAUGUCUUGAGCUGGAACAUCCCCAAGAGGCCAUAUAUAUAUCCCAGGGAUUUUACAGUGGACCUCACUAGGCCGGAGUAACUGUAAAGUCAGAUGGAUAAUGAGAAUUCAGGACGUUAGCCACACGUGGACUGUGGCAAAAAGAAAGUGACCCACUGAAGAAGACUGUUUUUCAGCUCUCUCAUCAAUUGCUGUUUCCAGGAGCCCACAGCUCCAAUUACUCAAAAGAACGUUGACUUUUUUUUUUUUGGUAAAAUAUCCUGAUUUUCAGGUUAGGCAAGCAAUUCAUUAAAAAAUAAAAGACUGCACAGCCCACAGCUCCAAUUAUUCAAAAGAAAGUUGACUUUCUUUUUUUUGGUAAAAUAUCCUGAUUUUCAGUUUAGGCAAGCAAUUCAUUAAAAAAUAAAAGACUGCAGGACUUACCUACCCAGAGGCUGGACAGUCUGAGUCCUCUGAGUUCUACAGAGAUGUCCUGGGAACAGGGGGUGGAGACGGGGGACUCAGUGGCUAAAAAGCAGGCUGCCUACCUGGCAACCAAAUUGGGCAGCUCUACCCUAUCUGUUUUGUGCAUUGGACUUAUGGAUUUCUUUGUAGAAAAAACUUCGAUAACUAAAAGCCCUUUGGUGACCUCCUGUCUGGUCUGGUGGCCGGCAGCCUGCAUCAGGGCUCCUGUGUGCCAGGACCAUUUUCUUUCCACUGUAGUAUGUUUAUGGACCACCUUGUGUCUUUUUAUUAAACUCCAGGAACAGAAGUUCAGUUUCUGG
rnacentral:lncRNA from 1 species